rnacentral:snRNA from 1 species
GCGUGCCUCGGCAUCAGCG